rnacentral:rRNA from 1 species
GAACGCCUCUAAGUCAGAAUCCGUGCUAGAAACGAUGAUGUUGGUCCCGCACAUAUUAGCUGUGUUAAAAUAGAGCUUUGCUCGUGAACCAAAUCAGACAGACGUGGAUGCUGCAGUGGAAAUCUGUGGUGUCUAGUUUGUGAAUUGUAAUUACCAUAUGGGCGGGGGUGAAUCCUUUGCAGACGACUUGAAUGGGAACGGGGUACUGUAAGCAGUAGAGUAGCCUUGUUGCUACGAUCUGCUGAGGUUAAGCCCUUGUUCUAAAGAUUUGU